rnacentral:rRNA from 1 species
UACGGAGGGUGCGAGCGUUGUUCGGAAUCACUGGGCGUAAAGCGCGUGUAGGCGGCCCAUUAAGUCUGAUGUGAAAGCCCGGGGCUCACCCCCGGAAGUGCAUUGGAAACUGAUGGGCUCGAGUCCCGGAGAGGAGGGUGGAAUUCCUGGUGUAGCGGUGAAAUGCGCAGAUAUCAGGAGGAACACCAAUGGCGAAGGCAGCUCGCUGGAACGGUACUGACGCUGAGGCGCGAAAGCGUGGGGAGCGAACAGG